AAGGCUUAGUUGAGUUGAGUAGAAGCUAAAAUCAUUUAAUGUGAAUUGGUGUUAUGAUAGAGCAAUCAUGUGCAUGAAAGGAAAUCAUGAUUUUGUAUGAUCUGAAAUUGACUGAGAGGACACCACAAAGCACACCGACAUAUGUUAAGAAUUGGUAUCCUUUAAAGUAUUUUAAAAUUUUAUUAACAAGAAAUGUUCUUUUCCUUGAUUCAAAUGCCAAAUGCUGUCUUGAGGUAUUUGAUUUGUUUGGUUCAGAGGACUUUUAAGAUACAGGUGCAUGAGGCUUUAAACCAUACAAUACCAUCCCUGAUGCAACAAGAUACAAAGAAUCUCAUUUCUUUCUUAAUUUUUUUUCUUGCUUUGUGCCUUGGGUAUUGCAGUUCUGUGUAUUAUUUGUUCUCAUUCAUGCCAGGUCCUUAAUGCAUUGAACCAUUUUUGUUAAUAGUAUGAUUUUGCAAUACACUUGAAUUUGUACUGUUCUUGAAAUAGGUAUUAGAUGAGGUCAUCAUGUCCUUGCUACCAGUGAUUUUCCUAUUUUCUAUUUAUUUUAAAUAUGUUUUAGCUUUUGUAAUGCCAAUGAUGAAAUUCUUUUUCCUUAAAUUUUUAGCAGCUGGGAAUAGGAAAGGUAAUAGGCAGGUCAAGGGCGGGGAUUACUUCCCCGUCCUCACCCCAUAGAAGAUUAGGGUCGGGGCAAAAACUUCCCCAUCGGGGAGUAGGGCCCCUCUGGGGAUUUUUUUUUUAACAUACAUUAUAAAAUGUAAAUUUAUUUAUUAAAAAAUAAAAUAUAAUUAAAAAUAUA
rnacentral:misc_RNA from 1 species